UUUGACCUCAAAUCAGGUAGGGCUACCCGCUGAACUUAAGCAUA
rnacentral:rRNA from 1 species